CAGUGUUACAGCUCUUUUCGAAUUUGUCUAGCAGGCUUUCCGGUUUUCACCGGAAAGCCCCC
ensembl:snRNA U7 U7 small nuclear RNA